UACGUAGGGGUGCAAGCGUUGUCCGGAAUUAUUGGGCGUAAAGAGCUUGUAGGCGGUUUGUCGCGUCUGCUGUGAAAUUUCGGGGCUCAACCCCGAACUUGCAGUGGGUACGGGCAGACUAGAGUGUGGUAGGGGAGACUGGAAUUCCUGGUGUAGCGGUGAAAUGCGCAGAUAUCAGGAGGAACACCGAUGGCGAAGGCAGGUCUCUGGGCCACUACUGACGCUGAGAAGCGAAAGCAUGGGGAGCGAACAGG
rnacentral:rRNA from 1 species